GACGAACGCUGGCGGCGUGCCUAACACAUGCAAGUCGAGCGAGUGAAUCUCCUUCGGGAGUGAAGCUAGCGGCGGACGGGUGAGUAACACGUGGGCAACCUGCCUCAUAGAGGGGAAUAGCCUUUCGAAAGGAAGAUUAAUACCGCAUAAGAUUGUAGCUUCGCAUGAAGUAGCAAUUAAAGGAGCAAUCCGCUAUGAGAUGGGCCCGCGGCGCAUUAGCUAGUUGGUGAGGUAACGGCUCACCAAGGCGACGAUGCGUAGCCGACCUGAGAGGGUGAUCGGCCACAUUGGGACUGAGACACGGCCCAGACUCCUACGGGAGGCAGCAGUGGGGAAUAUUGCACAAUGGGGGAAACCCUGAUGCAGCAACGCCGCGUGAGUGAUGACGGCCUUCGGGUUGUAAAGCUCUGUCUUCAGGGACGAUAAUGACGGUACCUGAGGAGGAAGCACGGCUAACUACGUGCCAGCAGCCGCAGUAAUAC
rnacentral:rRNA from 1 species